rnacentral:lncRNA from 1 species
CAGGCUGUCCAAAGCCUUACAAGGUAUUCACCGUAAUUGGUAGUUGGUGGGGGAGAAGCAGGAGAAAUCCUUCAUGUCUCAGUCUGAGGCAAACCUGAACAUCAAAAUGAAUUAGGCCAGUUUUUGUGUUUUAUCAGCUGAUGAUAAGGUACAUGAUACAAUCUAAUUCUGAAGGGAAUUUUAGUAUCCUCUAUGAGCCAGAAACAUGAUACCUAUUGGGCACUAUAAUAUAUUUCUCAGAGCUCUGGAGGUGAUAGAAAUGAAGAAGAGGGUAAGUACCGUAACGUGAAAGAGUGCUUCUUGUUUCAGAAGUGUGUGUGCUUCCAUACAGUUGUGUUUUGUCACCUGAUUUCUUCGAUGUAACCUACCAUGUUAGAAACACUAAGACAUUUCCUCUGCUUCCCAAUAUGAUGAUAUAAAUAUGCUGCAUCUGGUGGAAUAUUUUGCUUCAUUCUGAUGCCUUGUUAUACCCAUGACAGAAAACUACCAGUAAAAUUGGGAUGGCUCCCUGGCACAGGGACCAUUGAUUCCAGAAAUCCAUCAAUUUCUAUUUUUGCAUAGGUGUGUUUUCCUUUGCCUCCAAUGAUUUGAGUUGCCAUUUCCAUCCAGCCUUAUGACAGACAACAAAUUUUUCUCUGUGUGUGUGUGUCAUGUAGCAAUUGCUCACACUUUUUGUCUGUGGUAUUUCCUUUUUUUUUUUUUUUCCUAGAAAACUGUAUUGUUGGAAACAUUGUUAGCGCUGUCAGUAGCUCCAUGUUUCUGUCAUUAGAGCAAUGACUUGGAAUUCAGGAGUGUCACAGUCCUUCAGCUGGAGCAGUACUGGGGACCCAUGCAAUCUUGGGGCUGGACAGCGUUUACUCUUGAUUGGCCACAUCAUCUUAAGAUUCCUACGAGUAGACUAAGGUGUUAUUUUCACCUUCUUUUGGCUGAAAAGUAUAGGUAAGACCAACCCUAAAGAAACUGCAAACUAAGGAAGUAAAAAUCCAGCAUACAUCGUAUGGGCUGGUAGCUGAAAUCU